CCCAGACUAGCAACAGCAGAAACCCUUUAAUACCCCGGGGCCAAAGGGUGAGGAGAGAAUGGGCUGCUGGACCCUCCCAGAACUCUGGAGGGCUGUUUCUCCAUGGGGUCAUUCUGCCUGACACUGUGGGCUCAGGUGGGGGUGCUGCAGGGCUGCUGCUCGACACCCUCUCAUUUGCAGGGCAGCCCUAGCACAGAGAAUGGUUGAGUAGAAAUGCUAGUGCAGCUGAAGUUGAGAAACACCAGAGAGAAACCCAGCCUUUCUGAAAACCCGCUACUGGAAGGAAGGAAGCAGAGGAAACCAAGGCCCUCCCCACCUCUGAUGGCCGGUGCCUCCCUCUGGCUGAAAUCCUGGAACAGGACCUGGGUGAUUCUCCCAGAGGCCAGCCUCUCAGGACCCAGAGCAGAGCUGGAGAAGUGGGAGGAUGACUUAAGAGGCAGGUGGAGAAGACCAACAGCACCGUCCUCCUAGAGCCCAGACCAGGAACACUUUCUUCAUGCACAAAUGAGAAUGGUGUCCAAUCCCCCUGGCUCUUCUCUGCCAUGUUUUAACCCAGCACAUGGCCCUCACCGGAAACCAAGCAGAUGCUAUGCCUGCUUCUCCCACUUCCCAGCCUCCAGAACUGUGAGCCAAGUAAAUUUAUAAAUCACGCAGUCUCACGUACCAGGUUAUAGCAACCCUUAUCAUACAAAGACACUGUUCCUCAGCUUCUCCAGUCUAUAACCCUGACCCCAACCCAGGUUGCCCAGGUUGGUUUCCAUCCUGGGCCCCUCCCAAACCCCACAGGUCUUGCUUGUCCAUAGAUCUUGGUGUAUUGUUGCUGGAGGAUCAGAGAAUUGCCCUGGGUGUCGGGUCAAUUCACCCAAAAGGAGUAAAAGCACCUGGGAAUUUAUCCCACAACUCAACCUAAGCCACGCACUGUCUGAAGGAGGAUAAAAUACCCACUGUCUAUGCCUGCAGUCAGGAUGAAUUCUGAUUCUAUGCAACACUGAAGCACUAUCACCCAAGCUCUGAGCUGCCCAAGCCCAGGCAGGGCUCCAGUGCUUCUCCCAACACCUCACCCUGAUUGUUCCAUCUGUUUUGGUUUCUCUCCUUUAUUCAAUGGAUAAUAUGCAAAUUAUAGCUGAAUAAUAAUUUCACCAAUAUCCUUGUCUCAUAAUCUGCAUCCAGGGAGAGGUUGCCAGAGGCCAUAUCACUCAUCUCUGC
rnacentral:lncRNA from 10 species